rnacentral:sRNA from 1 species
GAUAAAAAGAUGUGUGAUGUAGACAUGAGUAGCAAGGACUUAAGAGAGAAAUUCAUUCUGAAACUGCUUUGAAUAUUUUAUGUUGUUGAUGGGUUGGAAAUACAUCACCUUGGGAAUGAGGUUUUUUUUUUUUAUUGGAGUUUUAGGAGUUGGUAAUAUGGUCAUUAUAUAUAGGCUUCACAAGUUAUGUAACUUAUAGUGGGGACAUGGAAUAGACAUUUCAUCUGUGUCACCCAGAGGUGGUUUUAGGUUUUAAAUUCUGUAUUAACGGUUGUUUUCUUUCCAGACUGCAAAAUUCAAAAUGGGGCUCAAGGUAUUCGUUUCAUCUACACCAGAGAAGGCAGACCAAGUGGCGAGGCUUUUGUUGAACUUGAAUCAGAAGAUGAAGUCAAAUUGGCCCUGAAAAAAGACAGAGAAACUAUGGGACACAGAUAUGUUGAAGUAUUCAAGUCAAACAACGUUGAAAUGGAUUGGGUGUUGAAGCAUACUGGUCCAAAUAGUCCUGACACGGCCAAUGAUGGCUUUGUACGGCUUAGAGGACUUCCCUUUGGAUGUAGCAAGGAAGAAAUUGUUCAGUUCUUCUCAGGUAUGUAGUCAUGUUUGUUGCUGAGCAGUGAGUUUUGGUUAGCUUAUGGCAAGGUGAUUUAAUAGACCUUAAAGUUGAGUAGCUUAGGUAUUUUAAUAGGUUGUAAAUUGCCAAUGAAUUAAUGUUUUCUUUCUAGAGACCUUCAAAUAAUUUAAGCCC